GUGGCAGUAUCGUAGCCAAUGAGGUUUAUCCGAGGCGCGAUUAUUGCUAAUUGAAAACUUUUCCCAAUACCCCGCCUUGACGACUUGAAAUAUAGUCGGCAAUGGCAAUUUUUGACGGUCUCUACGGAGACUGAACAUUUUGGUUGCUAAAAGUAGGAAAAAGCGGUGCUUCAGGGAGCAGCUGUGCCAGCUCGAUCGUGUCUUCGGGUCUGCCUAUCGCUAUUGGACGUUCUCCGACGAGCGUUUGGAAGCCCGGCAACAACUUCAAAGAUGAGCUGAAGGCGUGAAGCCCAUCGCUGCCAAGAUCCUAGCUGGAAUGCCGGCUUUUCGUACCUCCUUUUAGUCCGUCUUGCAGUGAACCCAGGUUUCGUCCUUGCACGUGAGAAACGGCCUCAUGGAUGUUUCAGCUCCCAGAAUUCCUCUGCUCCUUUAGCCGCGCAAGUGGUCUUCAAGAGAGGGGAGCCGAAGGACCUGUGGCCUCUCUGUGCUUUGUUGUCGUCUUCGAACCGUUUCAUUAUCCAACUAGCACUGAUGAUGCUGCCUACUUGAGUCAGGAAAUGUCUGCAAGAAUCAGAGCCUACCAAGGACUCCACAGUUCACCAAUGAGCUGCAAAUAUUUUCUUCUAUUGGUAGAAAUGAUUUUAUUUUAUUUAUCUCGUAUAUUUGUGGCCCAUUUGUGGGCACAGUGGAGAGGGGCAUUGGGUGAGGACGACGUGCCCUGGCUGGUCAUGGUUGGCAUCACAGGUGGUUUCAUCCCUGCCUCCCUUUGGGUUGCAAGGAGACAUAGAAGUUUCUAAACGUCGGGCCUGCUUUGCAAGGGGGGGAAGCUAAUAGGUUUUUUGUUUGUGUCUGACAAGCUUCGUUUACUCUCUUGAAAGCACCUGCUCAGUAAGGUAGAGUCACAAAUUACCUUUAUUGCCACAAACCGAAAAAAUGCGAUAGCUUUGUGGGACUGCAAUGAAUGGAAGCAACCUGCAGGAGUGCUGGGAAAAGCUUUAACGAUUUCCUUUUUUUUCAGUGUUUUGUUCAGGAUAACCUGGGUGAUUUGCAGGAUGUUUCUCCCUCUGCCGUGGGCUCUCUCGCCACACACAGCUUUGUGCCCAGCCUUUUCCGCUGCUUUUGUUCUGCUUCAGUCCUGGCUGGAUGUUUUACUACUUGUUCUAGCCUUGAGCCACCAUGAAGAGCACCGGAGCGAGCAAAGCAGCAGGAAGGGAAGGGCUGUUGGAUCUGCAAUCUGUGAACCGCUUGGCUGCUGUUGGGUACAAAUGUUUCUCACCCGGCUUUAAAGUCCAAAGGGUUUGGAGCAGCAAGCAAGAGAGAAAUGCCGACUUUCGUGUGUUGAAACCAAAAUGUAGAACAGCAGGAAAAUAGCAGGCGAUUCCCUCUGGAGCUGAGAGGACAACCCAGGCUUUCUCCAUCUUGGCAACUGUUAAGAUGGGUGGGCUUCAACUCCCAGAGUUCCUCAGUCCAUCUUCAGGCUAAUUAGCAUGCAGGCUGGGGGAUUCUGGGAGCUGAGCUCCACCCAUCUUCAAGCUCCCCUGGUUGAGGCCCAUUGGGGAUAGUCUAUUUUUCUACUUUUCCUUUAACCUGAGUCUAAGACGUCUCUCUGGCACGUUCACUUCUCGGCUGGUGGUGAUACCCAAAAGGAGAAGGAAGGGAGGCCGCUGCUGAACCAAAAGCUACUGCAGCAGCACGGGGACUCUUGAAACCAAACUGCCUGGCUCUCCUACCAAGUCCCGUGGCCUUCAAGGCAGGGCAGGUAGACCCAGGAAUGCGGACAGUUUCUUUCCACGGGAUGCAUCCUGCUAUCCCCGGUCAAAAAUAGAUUGCGGUGCAGGGAUUUUUGUCUGACGUGAAAAAAGGAAGGGCUGUUUUUAAAAGACCGUCUCCCACAUGGGAAGCGAGGUUUCCAAAAGAAGGUGCUAGAACAGAUGAUGGGAUGGCAGGAAAAAACCACCACCCCCUCUCUCUAUGGAGUACGGUUAGGCCUCGACCUGCAACUGUCUGUAUUGGCCAGGGUUCAUAGUUACAACGGUCCCUCAGGGUGAUCUGCUUCUGAGACCUCCUGGCAAACUCAGCGGGGACCCUGGAAUCACUCAACGACCGUGGCAAGAAAAGUCAUAAAGUAGGACAAGUGAGUGAGGUACUUGACAAAUUUCUCACUUAGCAAGAUGGGUUUGGGGCUCCAUUGUGGUCGUAAGUCGAGGCCUGCCUGCAUUUUGCAUUUCUCUCUGGGGGGAUCUGAGGCUGUUUCCUUCGCUGCUUCCCCUGUGGCAAGGAGCCGUGUCCCCGACUCCCAAGUGGGGCUCAGAAGGCCCCCCUGCUUGCACUCCUCCCCCAUUAGCCUAACCCUGAGUAUUUUGACAGCAGAUGGGAAGACUUAAUUUAUUUAAACAAAAAAAAGUGAAGGUGUUUAAUUGAAUUACAUGUGUGGGGGGAGAUAUUACUAAUCCCAUCAACGCAUCCUUAGCUCCUGGGUGAUUAAUGCUGGCAUUAAGUUAAAACAAUUCUCCGCAGCCUUUCCUUGCCGGCAGAAGUUGCAGCUGUUGGGCAGAAACGAAAGCGUUGGGUGACGAUGCCAGAUCCGGAAUCUCGUGGCUUGUUGCCGGAAAGGUGGCCCUUUGCCAAGAGAUUCCUAGAGAGGGAGAGCGGAGAGCCACCCACGGAUGCCACAGGUGGAUGGAAAGCUAGGUGGGGUACAGCAGGAGGAAGGAGAGGGAUCCAGAGGGUGGUCAAAAAGGUCAAGAUGGUGGCUCUGCAAAUGAAUCUGUAACACUCCCAGGAAGCCCCCUUGCCAGUGGCAGGCAGCUGCUCUGGGCCUGGUAGGCAAGGUGCCCCGGUGGGCUUCAGCUUGGCAUGACCCUGCCUGCCAGCCAAGCCACCUGGAGCAGGGCCUCCAGCCACAGCCUCUUUAAGACUGGUGGACUUCAACUCCCAGAAUUCCCCAGCCAGCACCCUCCCACCGCUUAGUGGGGCUGAUGGGAGCUGUCGUACUAAGCCAGUCAAUGAGCGGCCCGAGGGAGGCUGUUCAGGAGAGGAAGAUGUUCUGAGGCCUUGGAGGGCAAGAUCCUGGUUUGCGCACCAGACCCAGCCCAAAGAGGGUUUGGUUUUGGCUUAGCAGGUAGUGGGGGCAAAACGUUGCUCUCUGCUUUGGCAUAGUUUGCAAAUGCAGCUUGGUUGAGGCACGUUAAGAAAACCAGAUUUUGUCCUCCUGUCUGGAGGGGCCAAGAGGUCCUGCGUGGUAGAUCUAGUUGAUCUUGCUGCUUUGUUGGGUUUCUGAGACGUCUUCUGGCUCCCAACCACGUCCCCCAAGACAAGAAGAGCUGAGGGCCCUUCCAUCCAUCCAUCCAUCUCCCUGUUUUCCUCCCUCCUUCCAUUCUUCCCUCCCUGGUUUAGUAUAUUAUAAAAAAAAACAAGGUUGGUGCUAAUUCUGUUGGCAUGGUAUAAAAUUUAAUAAAUAGCAUUGGAUUGUCUAUAAAAAUAGCAAAUAACAGAUAAAUAAUCAUUUCA
rnacentral:snRNA from 1 species